rnacentral:rRNA from 1 species
GAUGAACGCUGGCGGCGUGCUUAACACAUGCAAGUCGAACGGUGAAAGAGAGCUUGCUCUCUGGAUCAGUGGCGAACGGGUGAGUAACACGUGAGCAAUCUGCCCCUGACUCUGGGAUAAGCGCUGGAAACGGCGUCUAAUACCGGAUACGAGCUGCGAAGGCAUCUUCAGCAGCUGGAAAGAACUUCGGUCAGGGAUGAGCUCGCGGCCUAUCAGCUAGUUGGUGAGGUAACGGCUCACCAAGGCGUCGACGGGUAGCCGGCCUGAGAGGGUGACCGGCCACACUGGGACUGAGACACGGCCCAGACUCCUACGGGAGGCAGCAGUGGAGAAUAGUGCACAAUGGGCGAAAGCCUGAUGCAGCAACGCCGCGCGAGGGACGACGGCCUUCGGGUUGUAAACCUCUUUUAGCAGGGAAGAAGCGAAAGUGACGGUACCUGCAGAAAAAGCACCGGCUAACUACGUG